AGUGAACGCUGGCGGUAGGCCUAACACACGCAAGUCGAACGGCAGCACAGUAAGAGCUUGCUCUUACGGGUGGCGAGUGGCGGACGGGUGAGGAAUACAUAGGAAUCUACUUUUUCGUGGGGGAUAACGUAGGGAAACUUACGCUAAUACCGCAUACGAUCUACGGGUGAAAGCAGGGGAUCUUCGGACCUUGCGUGAUUGAAUGAGCCGAUGUCGGAUUAGCUAGUUGGCGGGGUAAAGGCCCACCAAGGCAACGAUCCGUAGCUGGUCUGAGAGGAUGAUCAGCCACACUGGAACUGAGACACGGUCCAGACUCCUACGGGAGGCAGCAGUGGGGAAUAUUGGACAAUGGGCGCAAGCCUGAUCCAGCCAUACCGCGUGGGUGAAGAAGGCCUUCGGGUUGUAAAGCCCUUUUGUUGGGAAAGAAAAGCAGCAUAUUAAUACCCCGCUGUUCUGACGGUACCCAAAGAGUAAGCACCGGCUAACUUCGUG
rnacentral:rRNA from 1 species